rnacentral:rRNA from 1 species
AGUGAACGCUGGCGGUAGGCCUAACACAUGCAAGUCGAACGGCAGCACAGUAAGAGCUUGCUCUUACGGGUGGCGAGUGGCGGACGGGUGAGGAAUACAUCGGAAUCUACUUUUUCGUGGGUGGUAACGUAGGGAAACUUACGCUAAUACCACGUACGCCCUACGAGUGAAAGCAUUCGCUCUUCUGACCUUGUGCCGUUGGAUGAGCCGAUGUCGGUUUAGAAAGUUGUCGGGGUAAAGACCCACCAAGGCGACUAUCCGUAGCUGGUCUGAGAGGAUGAUAAGGCACACUGGAACGGAGACAAGGCACAGACUACUAUGGUAGGCAGCAGUGGGGAAUAUUGGACAAGGGGCGGAAGCCUGAUCCAGCCAUACCGAGUGGGUGGAGAAGGCCUUCGGGUUGGAAAGCCAUUCUGUUGGGAAAGAAAAGCAGCAGGUUAAUACCCCGCUGUUCUGACGGUACCCAAAGAAUAAGCACCGGCUAACUUCGUG